rnacentral:rRNA from 1 species
AUUGAACGCUGGCGGCAGGCCUAACACAUGCAAGUCGAGCGGUAGAGAGGUGCUUGCACCUCUUGAGAGCGGCGGACGGGUGAGUAAUGCCUAGGAAUCUGCCUGGUAGUGGGGGAUAACGUCCGGAAACGGACGCUAAUACCGCAUACGUCCUACGGGAGAAAGCAGGGGACCUUCGGGCCUUGCGCUAUCAGAUGAGCCUAGGUCGGAUUAGCUAGUUGGUGAGGUAAUGGCUCACCAAGGCGACGAUCCGUAACUGGUCUGGGAGGAUGAUCAGUCACACUGGAAAUGAGACACGGUCCAGACUCCUACGGGAGGCAGCAGUGGGGAAUAUUGGACAAUGGGCGGAAGCCUGAUCCAGCCAUGCCGCGUGUGUGAAGAAGGUCUUCGGAUUGUAAAGCACCUUAAGUUGGGAGGAAGGGUUGUAGAUUAAUACUCUGCAAUUUUGACGUUACCGACAGAAUAAGCACCGGCUAACUCUGUGCCAGCAGCCGCCGUAACAC